GACGUAGGGCGCGAGCGUUGUCCGGAUUUAUUGGGCGUAAAGAGCUCGUAGGCGGCUUGUCGCGUCAACUGUGAAAACCCGGGGCUCAACCCCGGGCCUGCAUUCGAUACGGGCAGACUAGAGUUCGGUAGGGGAGUCUGGAAUUCCAGGUGUAGCGGUGAAAUGCGUAGAUAUCUGGAGGAAUACCGGUGGCGAAGGCGGCAUCCUGGACCGACAUUGACGCUGAGGAGCGAAAGCCAGGGGAGCAAAGCGGG
rnacentral:rRNA from 1 species